AGGGCCAACCAGACUGCAGGGGCGGUGCCGCCGCCGCCGCCAUCUUGAGUGAGGGCGAGGCCUGCCCGCCUCCCACGGGUGUGGCCUUCCGAGGAGCCGCCUCCGGGGCUGGCCCGUGGCUGCUGCUGAAGCGCCGCUGGGUUCGCAAGCUGGAGAAGGUUGCCUGACUUGAGGGGAACGGCGGCGGCGAGGAGAGCAAGAGCGGCGCCCAGUGGAGCUCCUGCAAUGUCAACAGCUCUCUAAGAUGAGCCCAGAUGGCCCCUGCUCAAUACCACUUUUUGUCGAAGGAACAUAGAUAUGUUAGAGGGAAGCAGAGAAUGAGAGUACUUGAAAGAAGAUUAAAUAUUAGCCUGGGACAGAAAGAGCAUUAUUCUACAGUGGUCCAUGGAGAACAGUAUGCAGUGCAUCAAAAGAAUAAGACAGAGUCUGGCACACAAGAAUGUGCAGCAUCGUGCAGGGUGUGUCACAAUCACUCAUUCAAAAUGUAGCUAGAGUGACAUCAAUCUAUGCACCACAACCUUUUACUCAAGCAUAGGAUGAAAAGCAAACACAGUAAGUACUGCUGUUAGGAAGGCUUCCAUGAUUUCAGCCUCAAAAAGUAACUUGCAGAGGUCAUGCUCUCCUCCAAAACAGACCCAGCUAUAAGGAGGCAACGCCCCAAUAUAAGGAUGUCUACAAAAUUACCAAACCAUUUCCAGUCCUAACACGCUGUGCAAGCUAAGUUUGCCGAAGAGAAAACAUGCAUGUUAAAGAACUAUCUCUAGUGAAUUCUGUUAAAAGAGCAAUUAGCUUCAAUGGAACUGGAAACUAGAAUGGCUCAAUAAAUCUUUGUGUACUGCAA